rnacentral:rRNA from 1 species
CUAAUCUGCGAUAAGCGCCGGUAAGGUGAUAUGAACCGUUAUAACCGGCGAUACCCGAAUGGGGAAACCCAGUGUGAUUCGUCACACUAUCAUUAACUGAAUCCAUAGGUUAAUGAGGCGAACCGGGGGAACUGAAACAUCUAAGUACCCCGAGGAAAAGAAAUCAACCGAGAUUCCCCCAGUAGCGGCGAGCGAACGGGGAGGAGCCCAGAGCCUGAAUCAGCAUGUGUGUUAGUGGAAGCGUCUGGAAAGGCGCGCGAUACAGGGUGACAGCCCCGUACACAAAAGCGCAUGUGCUGUGAGCUCGAUGAGUAGGGCGGGACACGUGGUAUCCUGUCUGAAUAUGGGGGGACCAUCCUCCAAGGCUAAAUACUCCUGACUGACCGAUAGUGAACCAGUACCGUGAGGGAAAGGCGAAAAGAACCCCGGCGAGGGGAGUGAAAAAGAACCUGAAACCGUGUACGUACAAGCAGUGGGAGCACCCUUUGGGUGUGACUGCGUACCUUUUGUAUAAUGGGUCAGCGACUUAUAUUCUGUAGCAAGGUUAACCGAAUAGGGGAGCCGGAGGGAAACCGAGUCUUAAUUGGGCGUUAAGUUGCAGGGUAUAGACCCGAAACCCGGUGAUCUAGCCAUGGGCAGGUUGAAGGUUGGGUAACACUAACUGGAGGACCGAACCGACUAAUGUUGAAAAAUUAGCGGAUGACCUGUGGCUGGGGGUGAAAGGCCAAUCAAACCGGGAGAUAGCUGGUUCUCCCCGAAAGCUAUUUAGGUAGCGCCUCGUGAAUUCAUCUCCGGGGGUAGAGCACUGUUUCGGCUAGGGGGCCAUCCCGGCUUACCAACCCGAUGCAAACUGCGAAUACCGGAGAAUGUUAUCACGGGAGACACACGGCGGGUGCUAACGUCCGUCGUGAAGAGGGAAACAACCCAGACCGCCAGCUAAGGUCCCAAAGUCAUGGUUAAGUGGGAAACGAUGUGGGAAGGCCCAGACAGCCAGGAUGUUGGCUUAGAAGCAGCCAUCAUUUAAAGAAAGCGUAAUAGCUCACUGGUCGAGUCGGCCUGCGCGGAAGAUGUAACGGGGCUAAACCAUGCACCGAAGCUGCGGCAGCGACACUGUGUGUUGUUGGGUAGGGGAGCGUUCUGUAAGCCUGCGAAGGUGGCCUGUGAGGGUUGCUGGAGGUAUCAGAAGUGCGAAUGCUGACAUAAGUAACGAUAAAGCGGGUGAAAAGCCCGCUCGCCGGAAGACCAAGGGUUCCUGUCCAACGUUAAUCGGGGCAGGGUGAGUCGACCCCUAAGGCGAGGCCGAAAGGCGUAGUCGAUGGGAAACGGGUUAAUAUUCCCGUACUUGGUGUUACUGCGAAGGGGGGACGGAGAAGGCUAUGUUGGCCGGGCGACGGUUGUCCCGGUUUAAGCGUGUAGGUGUGUGUUCCAGGUAAAUCCGGUUCACUUUAACACUGAGGCGUGACGACGAGGCACUACGGUGCUGAAGCAACAAAUGCCCUGCUUCCAGGAAAAGCCUCUAAGCAUCAGGUAACAUCAAAUCGUACCCCAAACCGACACAGGUGGUCAGGUAGAGAAUACCAAGGCGCUUGAGAGAACUCGGGUGAAGGAACUAGGCAAAAUGGUGCCGUAACUUCGGGAGAAGGCACGCUGACACGUAGGUGAAGUGAUUUACUCAUGGAGCUGAAGUCAGUCGAAGAUACCAGCUGGCUGCAACUGUUUAUUAAAAACACAGCACUGUGCAAACACGAAAGUGGACGUAUACGGUGUGACGCCUGCCCGGUGCCGGAAGGUUAAUUGAUGGGGUCAGCGCAAGCGAAGCUCCUGAUCGAAGCCCCGGUAAACGGCGGCCGUAACUAUAACGGUCCUAAGGUAGCGAAAUUCCUUGUCGGGUAAGUUCCGACCUGCACGAAUGGCGUAAUGAUGGCCAGGCUGUCUCCACCCGAGACUCAGUGAAAUUGAACUCGCUGUGAAGAUGCAGUGUACCCGCGGCAAGACGGAAAGACCCCGUGAACCUUUACUAUAGCUUGACACUGAACAUUGAGCCUUGAUGUGUAGGAUAGGUGGGAGGCUUUGAAGUGUGGACGCCAGUCUGCAUGGAGCCGACCUUGAAAUACCACCCUUUAAUGUUUGAUGUUCUAACGUGGACCCGUUACCCGGGUUGCGGACAGUGUCUGGUGGGUAGUUUGACUGGGGCGGUCUCCUCCUAAAGAGUAACGGAGGAGCACGAAGGUUGGCUAAUCCUGGUCGGACAUCAGGAGGUUAGUGCAAUGGCAUAAGCCAGCUUGACUGCGAGCGUGACGGCGCGAGCAGGUGCGAAAGCAGGUCAUAGUGAUCCGGUGGUUCUGAAUGGAAGGGCCAUCGCUCAACGGAUAAAAGGUACUCCGGGGAUAACAGGCUGAUACCGCCCAAGAGUUCAUAUCGACGGCGGUGUUUGGCACCUCGAUGUCGGCUCAUCACAUCCUGGGGCUGAAGUAGGUCCCAAGGGUAUGGCUGUUCGCCAUUUAAAGUGGUACGCGAGCUGGGUUUAGAACGUCGUGAGACAGUUCGGUCCCUAUCUGCCGUGGGCGCUGGAGAACUGAGGGGGGCUGCUCCUAGUACGAGAGGACCGGAGUGGACGCAUCACUGGUGUUCGGGUUGUCAUGCCAAUGGCACUGCCCGGUAGCUAAAUGCGGAAGAGAUAAGUGCUGAAAGCAUCUAAGCACGAAACUUGCCCCGAGAUGAGUUCUCCCUGAGACUUA